rnacentral:miRNA from 1 species
GCGAGGUAUGGUGUUCUUACUG